UACAGAGGGUGCGAGCGUUGUCCGGAAUCACUGGGCGUAAAGGGUGCGUAGGCGGGUCUUUAAGUCAGGGGUGAAAUCCUGGAGCUCAACUCCAGAACUGCCUUUGAUACUGAGGAUCUUGAGUUCGGGAGAGGUGAGUGGAACUGCGAGUGUAGAGGUGAAAUUCGUAGAUAUUCGCAAGAACACCAGUGGCGAAGGCGGCUCACUGGCCCGAUACUGACGCUGAGGCACGAAAGCGUGGGAAGCAAACAGG
rnacentral:rRNA from 1 species